rnacentral:rRNA from 1 species
GUGCGUGACUGCGAUGGGGGGACGGAGAAGGUUAGGUGUACCGGGCGUUGGUUGUCCCGGGGAAAGGAGGUAGGCAUUGAGCGUAGGCAAAUCCGCGCUCAUCUAUGCCGAGCACCGAGACGAGCCCUAUCGGGCGAAGUCACCGAUACCACGCUUCCAGGAAAAGCCUCUAAGCUUCAGGUCACGCAGACCGUACCGUAAACCGACACAGGUGGGCAGGAUGAGAAUUCUCAGGCGCUUGAGAGAACUUGGGUGAAGGAACUAGGCAACAUGGCACCGUAACUUCGGGAGAAGGUGCGCCUGGAUUGGUGGCUACAUGCGUAGCUGGGCUGAUCCAGGCCGCAGAAACCAGGCCGCUGCGACUGUUUAUCAAAAACACAGCACUCUGCAAACACGAAAGUGGACGUAUAGGGUGUGACGCCUGCCCGGUGCCGGAAGGUUAAUUGAUGGGGUCAGCCGCAAGGCGAAGCUCUUGAUCGAAGCCCCGGUAAACGGCGGCCGUAACAAUAACGGUCCUAAGGUAGCGAAAUUCCUUGUCGGGUAAGUUCCGACCUGCACGAAUGGCGUAACGACAGCGGCGCUGUCUCCACCCAAGACUCAGUGAAAUUGAAAUCGCUGUGAAGAUGCAGCGUUCCCGCGGCAAGACGGAAAGACCCCGUGAACCUUUACUAUAGCUUUACAUUGAACGUUGAGUUCGUCUGUGUAGGAUAGGUGGGAGGCUGUGAACUGUGGUCGCCAGAUCGCAGGGAGCCAUCCUUGAAAUACCACCCUGAUGUGCUUGACGUUCUAACCUGGGCCCGUUAUCCGGGCCGGGGACCAUGUAUGGUGGGUAGUUUGACUGGGGCGGUCUCCUCCCAAAGAGUAACGGAGGAGCACGAAGGUACGCUCAGCGCGGUCGGACAUCGCGCACUGUGUGCAAAGGCAUAAGCGUGCUUGACUGCAAGAUCGACGGAUCAAGCAGGUACGAAAGUAGGUCUUAGUGAUCCGGUGGUUCUGUAUGGAAGGGCCAUCGCUCAACGGAUAAAGGUACUCCGGGGAUAACAGGCUGAUACCGCCCAAGAGUUCAUAUCGACGGCGGUGUUUGGCACCUCGAUGUCGGCUCAUCACAUCCUGGGGCUGUAGUCGGUCCCAAGGGUAUGGCUGUUCGCCAUUUAAAGUGGUACGCGAGCUGGGUUCAGAACGUCGUGAGACAGUUCGGUCCCUAUCUGUCGUGGGCGUUGGAGAUUUGAGAGGGGCUGCUCCUAGUACGAGAGGACCGGAGUGGACGACCCCCUGGUGUUCCGGUUGUCCUGCCAAGGGCAUUGCCGGGUAGCUAUGGUCGGAAACGAUAACCGCUGAAAGCAUCUAAGCGGGAAGCGCGCCUCAAGAUGAGAUCUCCCGGGACACAAGUCCCCUAAAGGAACGAUGAAGACUACGUCGUUGAUAGGUCAGGUGUGUAAGCAGGGCAACCUGUUGAGCUAACUGAUACUAAUGAUCCGUGCGGCUUGACCAA